rnacentral:rRNA from 1 species
GAUGAACGCUGGCGGCGCGCCUAACACAUGCAAGUCGAACGGUUAAAGCAUCUUCGGAUGUGCAUAAAGUGGCGAACGGCUGAGUAACACGUGGGCAACCUGCCCCUCGCAUCGGGACAGCCUCGGGAAACCGUGGUUAAUACCGGAUACUCCGCCACCCCCGCAUGGGGGAGGCGGGAAAGCCCAGACGGCGAGGGAUGGGCCCGCGGCCUGUUAGCUUGUUGGUGGGGCAGUGGCCCACCAAGGCGAUGAUGGGUAGCCGGGUUGAGAGACCGACCGGCCAGAUUGGGACUGAGACACGGCCCAGACUCCUACGGGAGGCAGCAGUGGGGAAUCUUGCACAAUGGGCGAAAGCCUGAUGCAGCGACGCCGCGUGCGGGACGAAGGCCUUCGGGUCGUAAACCGCUUUCAGCAGGGACGAGGCCGCAAAGGUGACGGUACCUGCAGA